AGAUUGAACGCUGGCGGCAUGCCUAACACAUGCAAGUCGAACGGUAACGCGGGGGCAACCCUGGCGACGAGUGGCGGACGGGUGAGUAAUACGUAGGAAUCUGCCCAUUUGUGGGGGAUAACCCGGCGAAAGCCGGGCUAAUACCGCAUACGCUCUACGGAGGAAGGCGGGGGAUCGUAAGACCUCGCGCUAAUGGAUGAGCCUACGUCGGAUUAGCUAGUUGGUAGGGUAACGGCCUACCAAGGCGACGAUCCGUAGCUGGUCUGAGAGGACGAUCAGCCACACUGGGACUGAGACACGGCCCAGACUCCUACGGGAGGCAGCAGUGGGGAAUAUUGGACAAUGGGGGACAACCCUGAUCCAGCAAUGCCGCGUGUGUGAAGAAGGCCUGCGGGUUGUAAGCACUUUCGAGUAGGGAAGAAAAAAGUCGGAAGCUAACACCUCCGAGCUUGACGUUACCCAUAGAAGAGACACCGGACUAACUCCGUGCCCAACGCACGACCGACGUAACUCGUAGACGGCGGCGUA
rnacentral:rRNA from 1 species